UACGUAGGGUGCGAGCGUUAAUCGGAAUUACUGGGCGUAAAGCGUGCGCAGGCGGCGCGUUAAGACAGGUGUGAAAGCCCCGAGCUUAACUUGGGAAUUGCGCUUGUGACUGGCGUGCUGGAGUGUGGCAGAGGGAGGUGGAAUUCCGACGUGUAGCAGUGAAAUGCGUAGAGAUGAUGGAGGAACACCGAUGGCGAAGGCAGCC
rnacentral:rRNA from 1 species